AACGAACGCUGGCGGCAUGCCUAACACAUGCAAGUCGAACGAUACCUUCGGGUCUAGUUUCGCGCGUGUGCGUAACGCGUGGGAACCUGCCUUUAGGUUCGGAAUAACUCAGCGAAAUUUGGGCUAAUCCCGGAUAAUUUCUUCUGACCAAAGAUUUAUCGCCUUUGUAGGGUCCCGCGUUGGGUUAGCUAAUUGUUGGGGUAAAGGCCUACCAAGGCGCCGAUCCAUAGCUGGUCUGAGAGGAGGAUCAGCCACACUGGGACUGGGACACGGCCCAGAGUCAUACGGGAGGAAGCAGGGGGGAAUAGUGGAGAAUGGGCGAAAGACUGAUCAAGCAAUGCCGGGUGAGUGAUGAAGGCCUUAGGGAUGUAAAGCUCUUUUACCCGAGAUGAUAAUGACAGUAUCGGGAGAAUAAGCUCCGGCUAACUCCGUG
rnacentral:rRNA from 1 species